CCCUUAGAUGUUCUGGGCUGCACGCGCGCUACACUGAAGCUAUCAACACGUUUUCCCUCCCUGAGAAGGGCGGGUAACCUUUUGAAUCAGCUUCGUGGUAGGGAUCGGGGCUUGCAAUUGUUCCCCGUGAACCAGGAAUUCCUAGUAGACGCGAGUCAUAAGCUCGCAUCGAUUAAGUCCCUGCCCUUUGUACACACCGCCCGUCGCUACUACCGAUUGAACGUUUUAGUGAGGCAUUUGGACCGACGCAUCUCAGUUUAACCGCUGGUUUGUAUUGGAAAGACUUCCAAACUUGAGCGUUUAGAGGAAGUAAAAGUCGUAACA
rnacentral:rRNA from 1 species